AAAUGUGAAAAGUGCGUAUUUUGUGAUUGUCUUUUCUCAAAUAUUAAAAUGAAUAUUAUAUGUGUUGUGUUAGAAAGUAAUGCUGUAUUCUCUUAAGUAGUGUGUUAAAUAUAGUUUUAGGUUAUAACAAAAUGUUAAAGUAGAAACUAUGCUAUGUAGGAGACUUUUUUUAAAGAAAGGACUCACAGCGAGAUAGCAGUCACAGGACACCUAAAUCUUUCAGAGAAAAAGAAUUUAUUGCCCUCUUAUCAGAAGAAACGAACUUCUUCCUGCCUUGAAGGCGCUGUUAGGAUUCAGAGGAAGAAGUUGAUGAUGACCAGACAGAAUCCUGUGUUUGAAUGGAAUUUAUGCAUCAUGUAUGAAGUGUAUGACUAUGCAACAGGCUAUUGCUUUUAAGGGUUAAUCCUUUGUUAAUGGGGGUCCUUUUUCAGGCCCGUGCUGCCCGGAAAAAGGUACCCGGACGUCCGUAACUCUUUGUCUCUAUUGUCUCAUAUUUAAUUAUAUUUGUCCAAAUUAUUAUUACUCUAAUUGUAUUACUAUUUUUAUAACCAUUUAAUUACUGUUAAACUUUUAAAAUUUUAAAAACAAGCGAUUGGCGUUUUUCACAGGAUCAAUCCUGCUUCCUUUUCACUGAAUUGUUGUAAUGAGUCAUCAGCUUUUAGCCAGCCUCAGUUCAGUUUCUUUUUCACGAAUUUUUUUGGUUGUUUUGAUCCUGAACUUGCCAAACCCUUAAGUUUGCUAAAUUAACCCUGAGAAGGUUCUACAAGCCAAUGCUGAGGGGAUUGGAUAGUUAGGAUCUUACGGCCCUUCAAGGGUUGGGUUCACCCCCUGAUUUUGGUGCCAAGGGAAACUCCAAGUUAACACGGAUCAAAAUAGGAAACAGUUCCCUCAUCAAAGUCAGCUUUCCAAACCUCUGUUCAGGAUCCAAAAGAAAUGGGAAUGCCCUUGGCAAAAAAGGUGCUUUUGAGACAAAGUAAGCCUAAAAUGCCUGUAAGCAGGAAAUCCAGGAGAAAUGGCUGCUGGCAUCCUGGGCUUGCCAGGCAGGUUUUGUACUUGAUUGCAAGGCAGUUUUCCUGCCUCUGCAUGGGGUGGCACCUGCAUCCCACUGGAAAGGGGAGGGAAAUAAUUCCCCUCCUUCCCUGGCCCAGCCCUGGAGUGGGAGCAGCUUGCCCUUAUCCUGGAGUUAUCCUGCUCCUGCCCAGCAUCCCUCUGGUACCCUCAUGUGCUUCCCAAGCUCCCAGCACUGAUGGAUCUAAACAUGGAGAACAAUCCCUGUUCGUUCUCUUCUCCAUCCUUGAUGUUCGUGGGCCCUGCAUCUCCCUGGCUAUUCCCUGUCUGACUCCUCAUCUCCAUCCCACCUUCUCCUGGUCACAUCUGAGCCUGAGAUGCGUUUAGCAGCAAAUCCAUUCCUUUAAAGGAAGCCCAGUGCAAAGAGCAACCAGCUGCAGGACAGGGAGAACCACUGAACUUGUCCUGGCCUUGCCAAGGUGUUUGAGCUGCCAAAUCCAAACUGGUCCUGAUGAUGGAGGACUUAAGAAAUUACUCAAUCCAACUAAAUGCUUUAAAAAGGGAGAUGGUUUGGUUAUAAAAAUAUUUCUGCCUGAGACUGGGAAGAGAUUGGGAAGAGUUAAACCCCCCAAUUUUGCAUAACAGCACAAGGAUUUUUUAAUUCUUUGCCUUUUUUUCCCUUCCUUUGAAUGGGUUUGUUUGUUUCCCCUUGGAAACUGCACACACAAUAGGCAGAUUUUUCAAUUUAGCCAUUUUUUCCCACUUUUAGUCUUCAAUGGAGCCCAGGUGCCAAUUGUUUUCUGCUUGGUUUCUGCCUUCCCUUUCCUGCCUACAGCUUAACCCCUUUCUCUCCUUCCUGCUUUUUGGCCAUCACUGGUCAUGCAGAUGAUGCUGAUGCAGAUGGCUGAUAAAUGGCUGAUAAAUAAUUAUCAAACAGCUUGGGAAUAGUCUGUAUCAGGUAUCAGUAACAUUAAAAAUGCAGUAUAUGGACCAUCAACCAAUGAAUUUAGCAACAGUUGGAUAGUAACUAAUCAUCUUUCCUUUGAAGCCCUCUUCAUGGCAUAUUUACUUGUAAAGGGAAAGCGUUUGGUUUUUAUUUUAAAAAAUACUACAAAUCACCAACAGCCAGCUUAAGUGAGCAUGGAAGACUGACAAAGACAUUGUAAUGUUUUUUCUUUUAAAUCCCUCACAACCCCAUCACGUACUGGGGAGGCAGCUCAGUGAGUUUCAGCCCACAGCUGCCAUCCUGUGCUCGUGGAGAGCAACCUCUCCAGCUGUCCCAGCCUCAGGAAAGCACAGAAGAGGGCUUUACACAGAUCAGGGAUUAAGCUAGACCCAGGUUGGGCUCAGCUCAGUCACCAUGGCACUGUUAGAAGCCUUAAACCCUUUUUCUAUCAGAUUGAUUGUGGUUGUGGUGCAGCCACUGUGUUGCUGUCAAUGUGCUCCCCUGCAGCCUAGCCUGACAUGGUGAGCAGGGGCUUGGGGUUCUGCCUCAUGUGUUAAACAUCAAACCAGAAGAUAAAACAACAGAUAAAACCCCUGCCCUCCCAUGUGCAUCAUUCUGCACCACUGCUAUGAGAGGAGGGUGAAAGACCCAGUCAGUUUUAGUUCUGUAAAGAAGCUCCAGAGCAGUGAUGAGUGCCUGAAUCACAUCCCCUGCAGCCAUCAGGGGAGUGAGGGCAGGGAAGAGGGCAGAGAAAGGGAAAUAAAAAAACAACAGAGCCACCAAAACUGGAGGAUGUGAGGAUAAAUCCAAAACUAUGCUCUCCAAGAACUGAAAGAACACAUUUCUUAAAACACGACAUCCAAACUGGAAUGAGGGACUUGCACUCUUUCCAGAUCUUCCCAGCACCAUAACCCAUUAAAAAAAAAAAAAAAAGCCAUCUGGUGAAAUGGGAUGCUCCUUUAAACCUUGCAGAGACUUUCUCCAGCACCACAAACCACCCUUCCUGUUGCUCUUCCUUUACCACUCAGGGCUGAGCCAUGAAGACCUGCUUCUUUAGUGUGUGUGUGUAUAUUUCAGGGUUUUUUUUUUAAACCAAGAAAAAAAUCAAUAUCAUAUUUUUAAAAGAACCCCCAGAGCUUUGGGGAAAGUGGGCAUAAAUGUCAAACAAAACACAAAGAAAGACUGAGCUACUAAGGGAUCUUAGAGCAGCAGUGGUGGGGUGGGAGGGAAGAAAUAUAGCAGACAAAUUUAACACCAUUUAGGAGGGUUUAUAGACAAUGUUUUCAUUGCAAGCAGCAUUUAGAAGUGACAAUUUAGUGAUUUAUCAUAUCCCAGCACACUCCUUCCCUGUCAAAGUGAUAGGCAGAACCAGCAGAGCAGCUCUGAACACACUGUUCACUACAAGGCACCACCAACAAACCCAGAACAGCUCCACCCUUGCCCAACCCUGUCCCCUUGGGCCUUCUGAGAAGCUGGGAUUUAGGAGAAGGCCAUGCAGGGGAGCAGUGUUUCAAAUAUCAAAGGAUUUAAAAAUAUACAGGGCUAUGAAAGCCAAUGGGACCUGAAAGAAUUGAAGGAGAAGGUGUCUUAGCAGAGCAUCUUUAGCCAGUGCAGCCAGAUAACCCUCGGAUAUCAUUACUGGAGCAUCUGGGAGUGAAGCCCAGCAGGAGAUGUUGCAACAUGAACUCCUGCCCAACAUGAGAGGUUCCCAGGGACCAAAAACUCCGUGCAGAGCAGACAGGAUCUGACCACAACACCUGCCUUGGGCAAAACCUGCUCUUCAUUUCUCACGAGCCACAGAGAAACCUGGUGUAUUUAUGAUCACUUCUCUCACCAGACCUGGUUGCAAUCAGCACUGGAUCCCAAAACUGAAGGAGAAGCCUUGCGUAGACAAUUCCUCCUUCAAGGCUCAGCUCUAGUACCAGGCUUAAGACCUGGCAUGCGCAUGCAUUUGGCAGGGAGUAGCAAAUCAAGUGAAAGAACAUUUCAGGGUUUUUUUCAGCUGAUUGUUUAGGAAUUUACUUGGAAUAAGCUUCCUCCCCAAGAGGGAUUUCAAUUCUACACAUGCACAAAGAGGAGAAAACAUUAAUGCAGCAUUGAGACAGCUCCGUGGUGAGAGCAGUGGUUUUAAGGUUAAGGCCCUUGUAUAUCUGGGAGGGUGAAACCUCUGUGUUCAACCCUCUGGGAUCAUCACUUGGGCUUCCUGUGCUUCUCAAGCUCUCAAAGUAAAAUUGACCCACAAAACUCAUCUUUGUCUCAAUCCUAAUCCCUGCAUCAUCCUUCGGGUGUAUUUCCUCACAAUUAAAUUAGAGUAGGAAAUGCUUUGCAGCCCCUUCUUCCCCAAAGGCCCAAUCUGCUUUAAUGCAGGGAUUAGGAAUGCUCUUCAAGCCCAAGGUUUGGAUGCAGCCAGUGAGACUCACAUUUCAGAGGGACCAUCAAUGGUCUGAUAAAUACACAGCACUUUGAAGCAGGCUGCUGGGACUGAGGAGGGUAUUUGAAGCCUGUUGAAAUGCACUUCUAGCAGAAGUGCAAAAUGAAAUGUAAUGUAGUAGCACUGGAAAAUGAAAUGCUGUUAGACAAGGCUGCUCCCCAGAUUGGCUCUGCCUGGAUCCACCUGCCCUGCAGCACAGCCUUCUCCCUUUCUCCUCACUGCCCUCUGCUCAGCACCAACCCAAAGCUGGGCUAUUUCAAUUCCUGUCAGACACAGAGCAGCUGAUGGGCAGCAAAUGCAGCCUUCCCAAAGUGGCUGCCCAUGACCCGGCCUGCAGGGCAGAGCUCAGGGAGGAGGUGGCAGCUUCCUCAGUGGCUUUUCAUGUCCUCUCUCUGCCGUGCAGACACUGGCAUGCAUGGCACAGCUCUGUUUUGGCAGCCGGUCCCUUGGCAGGGUUGUGUGAGCACAGGGUGAGCACAGGAUGAACUCUCUCCUUGCUGUGACAGGGCUGACACAGUGACCUCGGCCAGCUGAUGCUGCCUGUGCCAUCACCUGGCACUGAUGUGUUUGAUGAAAAUCCUUUUGCUGGGAUUUUUCUCCUGAGAAGCCUCAGAACAGAAAUGGAACCAAUAACGAUCUGCUGGCUGUGGAGUGUGGGCUGGAGAUGGUUUAGCAACAGGGGCAUCUUGGAUUAGUCUCCUGUGCAGUUUCUACUUGAUGACCAGUCAUGGUCCAGCUGUGUCGGGGCUGUGAGCAGUCCCAGAUUUUUAUUUUUCAUUCCUUUCCAGCUUUCUGAUGUCUCCUUGCUCUUUUAGUAUAGUUCUAAUAUCUCAUUUUCUUUUAAUAUAAUAGAGAUCAUAAAAUAAUAUUUCAGCCUUCUGAAA